UGUCCAGUCCAUCUUGUUCGAAGCUAUAUUUUUAACUUGUCUUUUACCUUGUUGUUUUUGUCUCCUAGAUGGCGGAAUCCCAGAAACUUUUACUAAAAGAGUUUACAUUGCUCCUGACAUCGCCCACAAGAUAACCCUUCUACACGCCAAAGUACAGUAGAAGAGUUGAUUACAGUGAUUAAAGAGAAAUUCAGACCUCGAUUGAUUUUGAUUUCAACCUCCAAUAUGAAGACCCACACUUUGGGGGGCAACUCUGCUUUCUAACAGACAUUUCAGAACUGCCAGAGAAGGCUGUAUUGAAAGUACACAGAUCUGAGACUGAUGCCGGGUCAGCUGCAACUUCACACACAGAAAUACUCCCCAGGACGCUUGCAGAGUUGGCCUGAUGUCUUCCCAGUUCCUCAAUUUUCUUAUGAUGUCGAGCACAGACUCAAUGGUGGAAAUAUGGCCUAUCAAAACAGUGGAAAGUUCUUAAAAUUAACUAAAGGCCAAAAACAAUCUCGAAAAAUCUCGAAAAUAUGGCCAAGGCAAUGCACAGCUUUAAGGCUUACCCCAGCAACAAAGAAGUAGCUAAAGCAGCUGAGGCUCUUAUUUCGAAGCACCCCUGCCUCACAGAACCAGGAAGUCAAUGUGGAUGGUAUGGCUGUAAGACAAGUUUAAAAUGGGCAACUUUCGCACAAAACUCAGCAGAUCUGGCUGUGAAGAGGUGGCUGUUAACUCGGGGAAGAGAAGCCAAAAUAAUCCAGAGAGUGAGUCUCCCCACUCCAACAUCAAAAGAGCUCAUCGAGCUGAGGUAAACUACCUACCAAAUUUUCCAAAAGGAGAGAGUGCUAAAAGCUUGGAAUAACAAAGAUUGCAAAUAGUUGAGAAAGUGUCUAAGACAGAAAGAAGUCUUGGGCUGAUCGAGAGACUCAUGCAAAGUACAUUUGCUCUGCGUCGCAAACAGAUCGUUGUAGAUAACCCAUCACAACCAGUGAAGGACUUUUUGGAAAAGUUGCCUGCACUUCGUUUGGAAUCUCAGAUUCCUGCAGAAUUCCACAGAAUUACUAAUAUCAGCUUGAAAAACAAGUUCUAUGCAGAGCUGGACAACCAUAAUCCUCGACUGAUUGCUGUUUACAGGCAGAAGGCUGCCCGUACAGGCAAGGCAGGACUAAGAAGCAUCUGUAGUGCCUAUGAUCUUACGGAUCACUACGAUAUUAACAACAGACGUACAGCUGUACUUCGAACCCUCCCUUGUCUACUUGCGCGAAUAUGACUCUGUGUUUUUCCAGAUGUGGAAUACUGAAGAGGUGGAUGAGCCAGACAUUACAGAUUCAGCUGUAGCUCUUGUCAGCAUGGUGAAUGGAGACUCGAAUUUGUGUUCAUUUUGACCCUGCUGGGAUUGCUAUUGUGCUGGAAGGUGACAUUGUUCUAAGGGACAUUUCCAGGUUGGCUGAUUCUUUUCUUUUGAUGUUUGGUUUGAUAUGCAUUACAUGUCAACUACCCCAAAGAGCUGACCCACACCUUUAACUUCAUCCAAAAAGUCUUACUUGGUUUGGAUGACUCAAAGCCACUGACACUCCCAGAUUGCUGAGUCAGUUUAAAAAAAUUAUUUACUUGUUAGAGAGUUUUUCCUGUAUCUCUGGAUGCACUAGUUUUUUACACCUCUGUCCUUUACAUUUGUUGUGUCUCAUACAGUUACAUUCUAAUGUA